rnacentral:rRNA from 1 species
CUGCACCUCAAGUGGUGGCCGCUAUUAUUGGGCCUAAAACGUCCGUAGCCGGUUUAGUAAAUGCCUGGGUAAAUCGUGUAGCUUAACUAUACGACUUCCGGGUAGACUGCUAGACUUGGGACCGGGAGAGGCUAGAGGUACUCCUGGGGUAGAGGUGAAAUUCUGUAAUCCUAGGGGGACCACCAGUGGCGAAGGCGUCUAGCUAGAACGGGUCUGACGGUGAGGGACGAAGCCCUGGGGCGCAAACCGGAUUAGAUACCCGAGUAGUCC